rnacentral:rRNA from 1 species
UAAUAAAAAAGUCUUUCCUUGCAUUUUCAGGCCUAUGUUUCUUCAUAUACUCUUAAUCUGUAUGUUUUAUAGAAUGUAUUAGGCCUUCUAUGCCUUAUAAUCUAUACAACUUUCAGCAACGGAUCUCUUGGCUCUCGCAUCGAUGAAGAACGCAGCGAAAUGCGAUAAGUAAUGUGAAUAGCAGAAUUCAGUGAAUCAUCGAAUCUUUGAACGCACCUUGCGCUCCUAGGUAUUCCGAGGAGCAUGCCUGUUUGAGUGUCAUUAAUAUAUCAACCUCUUCAGCUUUUGCUUUGUUGAGUGUUGGACGUGGGGGGUGUGUUUUUGCUGGCUUUUCGAGGUCGGCUCCCCUGAAAUGCAUUAGCAGGACAAUUUGUUGACUCUGUUCAUUGGUGUGAUAACUNAUCUACGCUAUUGACGGGGUAAAGGCAACGUUCAGCUUCUAACGGACCAUUAAGCUNGGACACACAUAUAUGNAAUUNACCUCAAAUCAGGAGACACCC